AAACUUUACCGGGGUUGAGGACCAUCAGAACCGCGAAGAACUUUAGCCGAAACUGUUGGGAAACAGUGCCAAAGACAGUGAAAGCCUGGUAGGUGAAAAAGAGAAACGCGGAGAUGGCACCAGAGUACCGCGGGACACGAGAAAUCCCGUGGGAAGCAGGGGGGACCACCCUCCAAGGCAAAACACAGAUAUCGACCGAUAGCGCAUAGUACCAUGAGGGAAAGGUGAAAAGCACCCCGGGAGGGGAAUGAAAGAGAACCUGAAACCGUAUGUUUACAAGCAGUCGGAGACCGCUUAAUAAUAAGGUCGACGGCGUGCCUAUUGAAGAAUGAACCGGCGAGUUACGAAGCCUGGCAAGGUUAAGCAGGAAAUGCGGAGCCGAAGCGAAAGCGAGUCUUAAGAGGGCGCAAGUCAGGAAGCGUAGACCCGAAACCACAGUGAUCUACCCAUGUCCAGGUUGAAACACAGGUAAAAAUGUGUGGAGGACCGAACCUAUAUCCGUUGAAAAGGGUUAGGAUGAGGUGUGGGUAGGGGUGAAAUUCCAAUCGAACGUGGAGAUAGCUGGUUCUCCCCGAAAUAGCUUUAGGGCUAGCCUCAGGGAAAAGAUUGCAGGCGGUAGAGCACUGAUCAGGAGAGGGACCUACCCGGUUACCAAACCCAGUCAAACUCCGAAUGGCUGCAAUCAUACCUGGGAGUCAGACUGCGACUAAUAAGGGCCGCAGUCAAAAGGGAAACAGCCCAGACCAUCAGCUAAGGUCCCCAAUGCCGUGCUAAGUGGCGAAGGAUGUGGCAUUUCAUAAACAACCAGGAUGUUGGCUCAGAAGCAGCCACCAUUUAAAGAGUGCGUAAUAGCUCACUGGUCGAGAGACGCUGCGCCGAAAAUGUCCGGGGCUCAAGCACGGAACCGAAGCUAUGGCAUGAUAGCAAUAUCAUGGGUAGGGGAGCGUUCUUAUAAGGAAGAAGCAUGACCGGAAGGACAUGUGGACGAAUAAGAAGUGAGAAUGCCGGUAUGAGUAUCGAAAAGAAAGGUGAGAAUCCUUUCCACCGAAAGCCCGAGGGUUCCUGAGCAACGAUCGUCGACUCAGGGUAAGUCGGGACCUAAGCCGAGGCGAGAAGCGUAGGCGAUGGACAACAGGUUGAAAUUCCUGUACCGGAUCAAGUCGAUCGAGCGAAGGAGCGACGCAGGAGGGCACAUGAUCGCGCGGCUGGAAGAGCGCGUCCAAGUGCGUAUGUUGCAGCAGAGGAAAACCCCUGCAGCUGAAAGCAGAGACAUGAAGGGGAGUUAAAGGAAACUUUGACGAACUCAUGGAUCCCACACUGCCAAGAAAAACUUCUAGCGAGACAAGAUCCGCCCGUACCGUAAACCGACACAGGUAGGCGGGGAGAGAAUCCUAAGGUGCGCGGGAAAACCCUCGUUAAGGAACUCGGCAAAUUGCAUCCGUAACCUAGGGAGAAGGAUGGCCCCCGGUCAGUGAAGAGCAGAAACGCUCAGAGCUAAAAGGGGCGGCAGAAAAGAGGCCCAAGCAACUGUUUACCAAAAACACAGGUGCCUGCGAAAGCGAAAGCUGAAGUAUAGGUGCUGACGCCUGCCCGGUGCCGGAAGGUUAAGGAGAGAAGUUAGCGAAAGCGAAGCAUCGAACUGAAGCCCCGGUGAACGGCGGCCGUAACUAUAACGGUCCUAAGGUAGCGAAAUUCCUUGUCGGGUAAGUUCCGACCCGCAUGAAAGGCGUAAUGAUUUGGGCACUGUCUCAACGAGGGGCCCGGUGAAAUUGAAAUACCUGUGAAGAUGCAGGUUACCCGCGACUGGACAGAAAGACCCCAUGGAGCUUCACUGCAGCUUGAGAUUGAAUCUCGGUGACAGAUGCACAGGAUAGGUGGGAGGCGCCGAAGCAUUGCCCUAGGGCGGUGCGGAGCCGAUGUUGGGAUACCACCCUUCUGUUGCUGAGAUUCUAACGCGAGGAGUAACGACCCUGCGGACCCUCUCAGGCAGGCAGUUUGACUGGGGCGGUCGCCUCCGAAAGAGUAACGGAGGCGC
rnacentral:rRNA from 1 species